rnacentral:lncRNA from 1 species
GCGGAUAAACAGGUGUGAGGGAGAGAGGAUAGAGAAAGAGAUAGGUAGAUAGAGAGAGGGAAGGCGAGAGAGAAAGAGAGAACGAGCGAGAGAGAGCGAAGAAGAGAAUGAGAGAAAGCAGUUUGGUGGAAGAAUACGGCAACUUCACAGGCACACACCUUCUGAACAAAUAUUAUACGGCAGGAAUAUAUAAGGCAAAAGAGCAGAGUGAAAUAGAGUGUUUGAGAAGAAUAAGGGAAAAGAUAAAUACAACACACAGACACACAGAGACGGACAUAUGAAUGGAUAUAUAUAUGCGUGUGUACAUAUAUGAAAAUAUAUAUAUGUAUAUGUGAAGAGAAAAGAUAGAGAGAUGGACGAGUGAAUGAGAGAGGAAGGGAAGUUCGAGAAAAAGAGGAGAGUGAGAAGGAGAGAAAGGAGGAGAAAAAGAGAGGAGAGAGAGAGCGUGAGAGAAAGAGAGAGAGAAGGAGCGAUCCAGAGAUAAUUACAAAGGAACAAGUUAACAAAACAGAAGCAUACGUAGAGAAAGUAAAUAUUGGUAGUUGAGAGAAUAUUUAAUAUAUAAAAGAAAAAAAAGAAAGAAAGAAAAGAGGAAUAAUAAAACAACAGCAACAACAACAACAACAACAAAUAUUUCCAGUUUUAUGGAGGAAUUUGUAAUCGAAACAUUUGAUUUUUUUAUGUUCAUACAUAGUGGUCUUAUAUUAUAAUACAUUGUUUGUUUUACACAUUAAUAUUUACAUAUACACACACACACAUACAUACAUACAUAUAUUAAUACAUGCACCCACCCACAGAUACACACCCAUACACACCCAUACACACCCAUGCACACACACAUACUCAUGCUAUCUACGUAUGUGUGUAUAUGUAUAUAAAGUAAAGUGAUGCUACAAGAGUUUCAAUUAACGUACAUCGAAUAGACCUCAUUAUUUAUUUAUCUGCACAAGUGAACUACUGUUUAAAAGUAGAAAGGAGAAAAAGGAGGUGCAGCAACAGUAUAAAUUCUGCAGUCUUUCUAAAGGGAGAAAAAAAUAAGGGUGUAAAAAAGCAAAAAAAAAAAAAAGCAGAACAAAAUAAGCACGAGAAAUCUAUUGAAAAGUUUCUCCAUAGAGGCAAAUUGAAGUUCAUACAUAUUUACAUAAAAUUCGUAUGAAUUAGAAAUUAUUAUUACAACACAAAAAAUAUUAAAAAAUUAAUCAUAUACAAAGAGAAAGGGAUAAGCAAAAACAAAAAAAAAAACGAAAGAAAGAGAAAAAGGCAAAAGAAAUUAAGAAAGAAAAAGAGGUGGAAUUUAUGGUUAAUAUAAAAAUAUAUAUUAAGCUAACACGGAAAUUUAUCCUUACUGAAGUCUGCUUCUUCAAAUUUCAAUACAUAUGUAUAUAUAUAUAUAUAUAUAAGUAUAUAUGUAUAUGCAUGUGUAUGGAAUCUUGCAAAUAUUAAUUGUGUAAUUAUAUUAUUUACCGGCUACCAACAAAUUCAAGUAAAACGAACAAGCAGCGCGCCUCCUCGGAAAGUGGAAUUGUUCAAUUUCUUUUAGCUCUAUCUUCGCCGUCGUCGCGCUGUUUGUUUGUUACUUUCAUUCUAUAUAAAUAUAUAUUGUUUUUGUCACUUUCAUUGACUGGCUUGAGUAGCUGGAAGCUAAACAAUGAAAUUUGGAUAUACAAGCAUGAUGAGCGGAGUAACUGUUGUGGUGUUUCUAUUAUUAAUCUUUCCUUCAGGU